AGCGAACGCUGGCGGCAGGCUUAACACAUGCAAGUCGAACGGGCAUCUUCGGAUGUCAGUGGCAGACGGGUGAGUAACACGUGGGAACGUACCCUUCGGUUCGGAAUAACUCAGGGAAACUUGAGCUAAUACCGGAUACGCCCUUUGGGGAAAGGUUUACUGCCGAAGGAUCGGCCCGCGUCUGAUUAGCUUGUUGGUGGGGUAACGGCCUACCAAGGCGACGAUCAGUAGCUGGUCUGAGAGGAUGAUCAGCCACACUGGGACUGAGACACGGCCCAGACUCCUACGGGAGGCAGCAGUGGGGAAUAUUGGACAAUGGGCGCAAGCCUGAUCCAGCCAUGCCGCGUGAGUGAUGAAGGCCUUAGGGUUGUAAAGCUCUUUUGUCCGGGACGAUAAUGACGGUACCGGAAGAAUAAGCCCCGGCUAACUUCGUG
rnacentral:rRNA from 1 species